rnacentral:rRNA from 1 species
GAUGAACGCUGGCGGCGUGCCUAAUACAUGCAAGUCGAGCGAACGGACGAGAAGCUUGCUUCUCUGAUGUUAGCGGCGGACGGGUGAGUAACACGUGGAUAACCUACCUAUAAGACUGGUAUAACUUCGGGAAACCGGCGCUAAUACCGGAUAAUAUUUUGAACCGCAUGGUUCAAAAGUGAAAGACGGUCUUGCUGUCACUUAUCGAUGGAUCCGCGCUGCAUUAGAUAGUUGUUAAGGUAACGGCUUACCAAGGCAACGAGGCAUAGCCGACCUGAGAGAGGGAUAGCCCACCUGGGAACGGAGACAGGGUCAAGACGCCUAAGGGAGGCAGCAGUAGGGAAUGGGACGCAAUGGGCGAAAGCAUGACGGAGCAACGCGGCGUGAGUGAUGAAGGUCUUCGGAGCGGAAAACUCUGUUAUGAGGGAAGAACAGAUGUGGAAGUAACUGUGCAGAGCGUGACGGUACCUAAUCAGAAAGCCACGGCUAACUACGUG